rnacentral:snoRNA from 1 species
CAUGCCCCUGGUGGCAUUACACGUGUGGCUGUUAUGCCACGUUUGUGUCAUUAGGUGGCAGAGCGGAAGAGGCUGUGUCUACGCUGUGUCCUAAACCUGUGAGCACUCGGAAUGAUUAGUGGCCUGGCUUU